AUUGGACGCUGGCGGCAGGCCUAACGCAUGCAAGUCGAACGGUAACAGGAAGAAGCUUGCUUCUUUGCUGACGAGUGGCGGACGGGUGAGUAAUGUCUGGGAAACUGCCUGAUGGAGGGGGAUAACUACUGGAAACGGUAGCUAAUACCGCAUAACGUCGCAAGACCAAAGAGGGGGACCUUCGGGCCUCUUGCCAUCGGAUGUGCCCAGAUGGGAUUAGCUAGUAGGUGGGGUAACGGCUCACCUAGGCGACGAUCCCUAGCUGGUCUGAGAGGAUGACCAGCCACACUGGAUCUGAGACACGGUCCAGACUCCUACGGGAGGCAGCAGUGGGGAAUAUUGCACAAUGGGCGCAAGCCUGAUGCAGCCAUGCCGCGUGUAUGAAGAAGGCCUUCGGGUUGUAAAGUACUUUCAGCGGGGAGGAAGGGAGUAAAGUUAAUACCUUUGCUCAUUGACGUUACCCGCAGAAGAAGCACCAGCUAACUCCGUG
rnacentral:rRNA from 1 species